UACGUAGGGGGCAAGCGUUGUCCGGAUUCAUUGGGCGUAAAGAGCGUGUAGGCGGCCAGGUAGGUCGGUUGUGAAAACUGGAGGCUCAACCUUCAGAGGUCGACCGAAACCAUCUGGCUAGAGUCCGGGAGAGGAGAGUGGAAUUCCUGGUGUAGCGGUGAAAUGCGCAGAUAUCAGGAAGAACACCCGUGGCGAAAGCGGCUCUCUGGAACGGUACUGACGCUGAGGCACGAAAGCAUGGGGAUCAAACAGG
rnacentral:rRNA from 1 species